CGUAGGGUGCAAGCGUUAUCCGGAAUUAUUGGGCGUAAAGAGCUCGUAGGCGGUUUGUCGCGUCUGCUGUGAAAACUGGGGGCUCAACCCCCAGCCUGCAGUGGGUACGGGCAGACUAGAGUGCGGUAGGGGAGAUUGGAAUUCCUGGUGUAGCGGUGGAAUGCGCAGAUAUCAGGAGGAACACCGAUGGCGAAGGCAGAUCUCUGGGCCGUAACUGACGCUGAGGAGCGAAAGGGGUGGGGAGCAAACAGGCUU
rnacentral:rRNA from 1 species